AGCCAUGCAUGCGUAAGUCUACGGCUCCUUCGGGAUGCCGGAAACUGCAGACGGCUCAUUAUCUCAGUGAGAAUCUACUUUGCGAACACUNCGAACUGGAUAAUUGCGGGAAUUCUGCGACUAAUACAAUUCGCCUGUCGGGGUAACCGGCUUUUGACCGACCGCNUUCGGCNGACUCGUGUUGAAUCACGGUUUCCCUUCGUCGACACCGUCGACGCGCAAAAUGGAUUUCUGCCCUAUCAACUAGACGGUUGGCUCUGGGCCUACCGUGGUCGUAACGGGUGACGGGGAAUGAGGGUUCGACCCCGGAGAGGGAGCCUGAGAGACGGCUACCACAUCUAAGGAAGGCAGCAGGCGCGCAAAUUACCCAAUUCCCACUUGGGAGAGGUAGUGACAAGAUAUAACAAUAUCGGGCUCUCAGAGUCUGGUAAUUGCAAUGAGCAGUGCUUAAACCCAUCUGCAAGGAACAAUUGGAGGGCAAGUCUGGUGCCAGCAUCUGCGGUAAUUCCAGCUCCAAUAGCGUAUAUGUAAAUUGUUGCGGUUGAAAAGCUCGUAGUUGGACUUCUGAUGUCCGCAUUCUGUCCACCUNCGAGUGAUGACGGUUUGUGGGCAUCGUUUUUGUCGACGGUGCGUNGUCGGACUUCACUGGCCGGUGCGCUCUCUGUCGACGAUGUUACUUUGAGGAAAUCAGAGUGCUUAAAGCAAGCGUUCGCUCGUGACUUCACUAGCAUGGAAUAACACAGAUGGGCUCUUUAUCGCAACGUUGGUCUGCGACAACUGAGCAACGAUCGAUAGAGACGGUCGGGGGCAUUCGUAUUGCGCAGUUAGAGGUGAAAUUCUCCGAUCUGCGCAAGACGCACUAAUGCGAAAGCAGUUGCCAAGGACGUUCUCUUAUGAUCAAGAGCGAAAGUCGGGGGAUCAAAGAUGAUUAGAUACCGUCGUAGUCCCGACCAUAAAUGAUGCCAACUGAGCGUCGGCGACGCGGCUGUNCAGCCGGACGUCGGCGCUCUUGAGAGAAAUUAAAGU
rnacentral:rRNA from 1 species